GGAGGGCUUUCUAAGGCUGCAUUAGCAUUGUGGCUAACACCCUCUGGUGAUAUCACCACAGAUUUCCUGUCACCGUCGACAACUAGAUAAACACCCCAAUGAAAUCCAACUUUUGCCUGGAAACACUGAACUGUGAUCCAGCGAUGCCCCAGCCGACUAUUUGGCGAUCUUUGGUGUAGUAAAUAUAUACAACUUCAGUGGCUAUGAUACAGUAUCAUCCAGUUUUAUCACAAAGUGAGGUUUAUAGAGAUUUUUUUUAUGUCAAAGUACAGUAUCUGCAGUGCAAUGUACUGUUCUGUGUAAGCAAGAAGAUAGCUCAUUCAGCAGCCACUAGAUUGUGUGUGCGUGUGCGCCUGUGUACAUGCCUCACUGUAGAUAGGCUAAGUGUGUGUGAGCAUGUGUGUGUGUGUGUGUGUGUGUGUGUGUGUGUGUGUGUGUGUGUGUGUGUGUGUAUGCUUGUGCGCGAGAGUGUGUGUUGGAUAAGAGAAAUCGAAUGAAGAUGGGAUAGACCAGAGAUGGUUCGCCCAUACUGUUGAAAAGUCCCCCGGUGUCACAGAGGUCUGGUGCGAUUAGACACACCGCCUUGCCUCUCAAAAGGGAAUUCCUUUGUGGACGAACUGCUCGAUUAAUUGUGAGUGUGGCACAUCUGCUUUAUAGGUGUUGCAUGAGGCCUGGGCUAGGUCCUUUUUCAUUUUGGCACCGGCCCUUUCUCUUACACCCUCUAUUUUUAACCCCUUGACAGCUGCAUAUAGCAGUAGACCGGCACGUGGAACCUUUUCCAAACAGGGAGGAAGUUGGAACAACCGGAUGCAAGGCCCAUCCGAUGUAACCCCGACUCACAUGUAAAAUUAUUCUCAAAUGUUGAUAGAGUCUGGGUUUAAUGCCAUAUAUGGAUGACACCCAUGGGAUUGUUCACCUCGCUCAUUGGUUAUUGCAGAACUCACAGCCGAUACUGUAUUGAGUAAGACGGGCGUCCUCCACAAAGUCAAUGACCAAUUUAUACCAAUUAAUCUG
rnacentral:lncRNA from 1 species